AGUGGCGGACGGGUGAGUAACGCGUGAGAAUCUGCCUUGGGGUCGGGGACAACCACUGGAAACGGUGGCUAAUACCGGAUAAGCCGAUUGGUGAAAGAUUUAUUGCCCGAAGAGGAGCUCGCGUCUGAUUAGCUAGUUGGUGAGGUAAGAGCUCACCAAGGCAGCGAUCAGUAGCUGGUCUGAGAGGACGAUCAGCCACACUGGGACUGAGACACGGCCCAGACUCCUACGGGAGGCAGCAGUGGGGAAUUUUCCGCAAUGGGCGAAAGCCUGACGGAGCAAGACCGCGUGAGGGAGGAAGGCUCUUGGGUUGUAAACCUCUUUUCUCAGGGAAGAAGCUCUGACGGUACCUGAGGAAUCAGCCUCGGCUAACUCCGUGCCAGCAGCCGCGGUAAUACGGAGGAGGCAAGCGUUAUCCGGAAUUAUUGGGCGUAAAGCGUCCGCAGGUGGAUUCAAGUCUGCUGUCAAAGCACGGGGCUUAACUCCGUAAAGGCAGUGGAAACUGAAUAGCUAGAGUGCCGUAGGGGUAGAGGGAAUUCCCGGUGUAGCGGUGAAAUGCGUAGAGAUCGGGAAGAACAUCGGUGGCGAAAGCGCUCUACUGGACGGCAACUGACACUCAGGGACGAAAGCUAGGGGAGCGAAUGGGAUUAGAUACCCC
rnacentral:rRNA from 1 species